rnacentral:rRNA from 1 species
CCUACGGGAGGCAGCAGUGAGGAAUAUUGGUCAAUGGACGGAAGCCUGAACCAGCCAAGUCGCGUGAAGGAUGACAGCCCUAUGAGUUGUAAACUUCUUUUGUACAGGGGUAAAGCUGACCACGUGUAUGCAUCUGAAAGUACCUUACGAAUAAGCAUCGGCUAACUCCGUGCCAGCAGCCGCGGUAAUACGGAGGAUGCAAGCGUUAUCCGGAUUUAUUGGGUUUAAAGGGUGCGUAGGCGGGUUGAUAAGUUAGAGGUGAAAUGUCCGAGCUUAACUCGGGCAGUGCCUCUAAAACUGUUGGACUUGAGAGUAGAUGCGGUAGGCGGAAUGUAUGGUGUAGCGGUGAAAUGCUUAGAGAUCAUACAGAACACCGAUUGCGAAGGCAGCUUACCA